GUGAAGGCCCUUUGGGCUUAGACUGAAGUCCGACUGAAUGAGGGCAAAGGGACGGUGAAGUCCCAUUUUAUGUUCAUCCAUUCCUCUCUCUAAACGUGCUACUUCCAUCUCUUAUAUCUCUCUCUCACCGGAAAUCAUCGCACCAGAAGCGGAGGAGCCACCCAGAAAUACCAAAAACCACCAUCGUUAAGCUCCCCUUCCUAUCCUUUUUCCAUCUCUUAACCUUAUUUCACCUAAAAGUCAAACACAAGCCCUGAUCUGAAAUGAAACCUCAAUAACACUAGAACACUCAAAUCAAAAUUAAAUUCCAUAUGAUGAGGAUCGAAGUUGGAGACAUUGGGGCUUUGAUUCCCCACCACAACGUCUACAUCAUAGUAACAAGUAUGACGCAAAGAAGGAAAGGAUGGAAUAAGUGAUGUCUACCUACAGAGCGGAGAGUAGCUCUGGAAAUUGUUUAUAUGCUUGAAUAUGAAGAUGCAAGAGGAGAAAGUAACCCAAAGAUCUAUCAGGGCUGCUGCAAACUUGGUAAACUUGGUGUAAUGAAGAAUAAGAUCUUGAGACUUGACAUGGUCUAAUCAAGGUUUGGCAUGGCAUUUCAUCAUGGUGGAGUCUUGGUGUGGAAGUGAACAUGAAGAUAUUUUGGAAUGAGCUUGAAGAACUUUGGAGGCACACAAAAUAGAAGAUCUUUAUGAUGAAGAAAAGGUAGCAUUAGGGUCAGUUUGACUUUGGUCAACUAUUAGACCAAAAGUCAAUCUUAGGUAAAAAUUAGGAUUUUUGUAUACAAUGCCAAUAUGACCUUUUGUGAUAUACUCAUUUGGUGUUUGAAAUGAGUUUUGGAACUUGAAUUGUAGUUUGUAACUUAUUUUUUAAGAAAUGUACUUUCCCUCCAUUUUUUUGAA